rnacentral:rRNA from 1 species
GGACUACUCGGGUUUCUAAUCCUGUUUGCUCCCCACGCUUUCGCGCCUCAGCGUCAGUCAAGGACCAGGUCGCCGCCUUCGCCACCGGUGUUCUUCCCAAUAUCUACGAAUUUCACCUCUACACUGGGAAUUCCACGACCCUCUUCCCCACUCAAGACCAUACGUAUCAAAUGCCGCCCCCAGGUUGAGCCCGGGAAUUUCACAUCUGACUGUACAGCCCGCCUACGCGCCCUUUACGCCCAGUCAUUCCGAGCAACGCUAGCCCCCUUCGUAUUACCGCGGCUGCUGGCAC